rnacentral:lncRNA from 1 species
UAGAUUGCAAAAACAAUGUAUUUAAUUCUUUGCUCGUGACAGCAAUAAUUCAUACAGCAUGUACUCGAAAGUAAUGUAAGAGAGAUAAAAAAAUUAUUUGUUCAUCCGUGAACAAGGUUUGUAGCACGUGACUUCCUUCGUAAUUCAUGGCUGUUGCAUCAAGAAAUUGUAAGAUAUGACUACCAAUUUAAAGUGGGUUUUAAUAUUUAUGAGCUGGUAAUGACAUUUCGCAGCUUUCACUGAUCUUGCUUAGAUAUGUUUUUGUCCACAUUCAUAACCUACCAUGUAACAUUUCUACAUAAUUGAUAAUUAUAUGCUGGAUGAAUAUUCAUCGCGUUUGUAUCUUGAAACAUAUUUUUUUUUCUAUUAAAUACUACUAGGCGGAAGGUUUAAUUAUAACUAAUUUUAUAUGUAUUUGAUAUCAACUCCUGUGGAAGUAUGUUUGUUAAAUGACCUGCUUCUUCUGUUGUAAAUUAAGGACACUUUCAAAUGAUAUCUUAUUAGUUUAUAACAAUUAACAAAAAGUGAUUUGAAUAUCAGUAUUGAUGACCAUGCAAUGAAAUUUUGCUACCGACUACAAACCAUCAUUCUAAUAAUACAAGAGAAAUAUUGUUCUGCAUGUUCAGAUUAGCCGGUCGAGUUACUAGACUAUCAGUGCAACCUAAUCAUGUGCUCGCCAUUACCAUUAUAUCUAAUUAUGUAUGUUGCAUUAGUCUGUAAUUCACUAGAGUAAAUACGUAUAUCAAAUAUUAUCUUGUCACUUCUGCUUUGUUAAUACAUUCUCUCCAUAAGUAUUAUAUUUCGGAGACGAAUCAUUUUUCGUGGACAAAGUCAUCACAUCCUAUAACAAUUUGCUGACAACAAUACCUGUAUUUAGAACAUAUCGUAAAACACACAAUGUUAAUUUAUUGAUAUCGCGACAGCUUGUGUCGAAAUAUGCAUGACUAUAGGUAGGUGUCAGAACACGGGAUAGAUAGCAGAACUUAAUUAUAUUUGUAUAUAUAUUCUAUAUAAAAUUUGCAUAUUCAUAUUGACAGUGUGGGGGAACACAUGACCUGAAAUGAUGCUCAACACAGAUAAAAUGGCGGCCACAGAGCCAAAUUUCACUGGAAAAUGCGAGGAACGUUGCCCAAAGCGUACAAACUGUCUGAAACACACAGGACGCCACGUGCCAUUUGUGUAGGAGUAGUUCUAGCUCAAAAUCAAGCAGUACGUACAUGUCGAAACAAAGACACACACAUUUAAUAAUGAAGGAUGUUAGAUACUACACGGCCAAAGAAGUAAAGAAGAUCCAAGCUUCAACUGGAAAUAUGUCCAAAAAAGACUUAAGGUGUAAGGUUGAAAAGGGCAU